UGGGAAUAUUGCACAAUGGGCGCAAGCCUGAUGCAGCAAUGCCGCGUGAGUGAAGACGGCCUUAGGGUUGUAAAACUCUUUCGCUAGGGAAGAUAAUGACGGUACCUAGUAAAGAAGUCCCGGCUAACUCCGUGCCAGCAGCCGCGGUAAUACGGAGGGGACUAGCGUUGUUCGGAAUUACUGGGCGUAAAGAGUUCGUAGGCGGACUAGCAAGUUAGAGGUGAAAUCCCGGGGCUCAACCCCGGAACUGCCUCCAAAACUAUUGGUCUAGAGUUCGAGAGAGGUGAGUGGAAUUCCAAGUGUAGAGGUGAAAUUUCGUAGAUAUUUGGAGGAACACCAGUGGCGAAGGCGGCUCACUGGCUCGAUACUGACGCUGAGGUGCGAAAGUGUGGGGAGCAAACAGGAUUAGAUACCCUGGUAGUCCACACCGUAAACGAUGAAUGCCAGUCGUCGGGUAGCAUGCUAUUCGGUGACACACCUAACGGAUUAAGCAUUCCGCCU
rnacentral:rRNA from 1 species